CCUACGGGAGGCAGCAGUGAGGAAUAUUGGUCAAUGGACGAGAGUCUGAACCAGCCAAGUAGCGUGAAGGAUGACUGCCCUAUGGGUUGUAAACUUCUUUUAUAUGGGAAUAAAAUGUUCCACGUGUGGGAUUUUGUAUGUACCAGAUGAAUAAGGAUCGGCUAACUCCGUGCCAGCAGCCGCGGUAAUACGGAGGAUCCGAGCGUUAUCCGGAUUUAUUGGGUUUAAAGGGAGCGUAGGGGGAUGGUUAAGUCAGUUGUGAAAGUUUGCGGCUCAACCGUAAAAUUGCAGUUGAAACUGGCAGUCUUGAGUACAGUAGAGGUGGGCGGAAUUCGUGGUGUAGCGGUGAAAUGCUUAGAUAUCACGAAGAACUCCGAUUGCGAAGGCAGUUCACUGGACUGCAACUGACACUGAGGCUCGAAAGUGUGGGUAUCAAACAGGAUUAGAUACCCGGGUAGUC
rnacentral:rRNA from 1 species